rnacentral:misc_RNA from 1 species
CCCAGUGAAUGUAAUUAACUGUGCAAUUGGAAAAGGGUGCUCAGAGAAACAGAGUACUGGAAAAAGGCACCUCAUGGAUAGGAUUUACCAACAAUAAAGUUGCAUUCCCGCUCUAAUGGAGACAAAAUACAUAAACACUACAUAAGUGCAUUCCUAUAUCAUGAGUAAAUUCAUUUCCUAUUUCUUGUUUAUUCUAUAGAUUGUAUGCAACUCCAGCUUUGAAGCUACUCUAUUAGCUGUAUUUACAUGAGAGAAAACAAGACGGAACAAAACAGGCUAUUGGCUGACUAACAAUACAUAUAUAUUUGUGAGAUUCAUUUGAAAUUGUCCCUGUAACUGCUUCUUCGAUUUGAAACGAUCGUAAUUCUCUGAUCUUGAAGCAUGUUCAAGUUGGGGGCCAACAACCGAGUAUACCGAUCAAAAUAGAGAAGCUGUUUCAUAAGAAGGGCAAACUCCCUAGGAAAUCUGAGUCCAUAUGCUUCACUGACACGAAUCUGUCAUACAACCAGAAAAGUAAACACGUUAUUAGAAUUUGCAAUUACUGUCAGCCUCAGGCAGAUGAAUCAAAGUCACCAACUAAUAAAAAAAGUUUAGACAAAAAUCAGUAGCUCCGCCUUUGUACUAAAGUUUGCAUUUCUUUUAAAGGCGUUUUUUGCAUUAGUUACUUUUUUCAAAAUAAAGAUCUACACUGCUUAAAGAAAAGCAAGUUAUACAUUUCACAUAGAACACUAACUUAACUUUUACAAAAUGAAAUUUCUCCCUUUUCCCAUAGGUAAGAUUUAAACCUAAGAUCCAUCCUGACCUUAGCUACUACCUCAGCUAAUCCCCAAAGGCAUCUUUUAGACAAAAUAUUGUACUUGGAUGACAAAUGAGGUGUUCAUUCAAUCUUAAAAGAGUAACUACUACGAAUACCUAUUUUAAGAGUUGAAAAAUUUUCCAAAAACCUUUCAGAAGGAAUGUUUUUCAAACUCCCAGCUGACCUCAAAAUGCAACUCAUUUGACACAUGCAUAAUUUCCUGAAUCUGGAAUUACUCUCAAGCUUGCAAACUAUUUCUGACUAGCUGAUAGAUUUGUCUAUCCACAUAGGUUGUUGCAAAUGAAAACUGUAGUUACAGGGAUAAAGAAAAAAUCUUAGCUUGACAGACCUAAUGACAGCUGACAGGCAUUUUAAUGAUAUGGAUAUUUUGAAUAAAUUAAUCAUUGAGUUACUUCAGGUAUAGCAAAUACUAAACUCAUGAUGAUUCAAAAACUCUGUAAGCAGCAAGCAGCCAAUCAAUAUUAACAAGUUCAAACUACAUAAAUUGGCAAAUUCUUUGGAUCUAAUUCACCAAAUUCUUUUCCCUCACAAACAACAAAUUGAAGUAUAUAAUCUUACCACAUCAAGAAAAAGUGCAUUCAUUUUCCUCUCAACAACAACUAGACUGGCAGAAACAGGAGUUGUAUUUGUAGCACCAUCUCUUGCUGUGGCAACAACUAUUUCCAUAGCCAAUUCCUUUGAGAAUUUACACCCUCCCUGUUCUUUGUUGGUGCUCUGGGUUCCUGAUCAUCUCUGCAAAAAUUACAUAAUAGAAAUAAUUUUGCAAAGUCAAUCAGGGUCCAAUUCAGCUUGGGAUGCAUCAGAUUUGCAGGUCCUGAUUGAUCGACUUUGCCUCUACCUUCAAGAACCAAGCUGAUCAGUCAGUUACCAGUAGUCCCCACACGAACAAUUACCAUCCACAAAAUGAUGAAACCUGUUUGAAUCUCGUAACACUAUUUGACGGCCAGCAAUUUUUGAUAUGUAUUUAAAGGCAGUGUGGCAGUCGCCACAAAUCCGAAGGUUUUUCAUUAUCCUAAUUGGCAACCUUGAAUCACGAGUGAGAACAAAAGCAACUGCAAGUUUCUCACUGUGAUAGCUCAGCAGUUCUUCCUUAUUCUCUGGUUCAAGAUCAUACAGUGCAAAUUUUGUCUCAGGCACGUAUCCUGCAUCUCUAAUUUUUUUAUUGAGUUCCUUGAGUUUUUUGUAGAUUAAAUCUCUUUCUGGAUGUGAUUUAUCCCCAGACACAAAAACAUGGACCCCAUCCUUCAUAGUUACCCAACUACAUCCAGCUUCCUUCUUCACUGCUGCUUCUCCCAUUGCUCGCCUAGCCUUUGCCAUGUCAUUCCACUUCCCCCCUGAAGCAUACAUGUUAGAAAGAAGAACAUAAUUCACAGCAUUUUGAGGUUCCAUAUCCAUAAGCAUUUCAGCAGCCCUCCUGCCUAACUCAGUUUUGUGACCAUUUGCUCGGCAGCAGGCACCUAAAACUGUCCUCCAAAUAAGAACAUUAGGUUCCACUGGCAAUGUAUUAAUGAAGUUCUCUAUCCUAUCAAGUUCACCUGCCCGUCCAAGGAGAUCCACCAUACAUGAAUAAUGCUCUAUCCGAGGAGCCAAUCCAUAUACUUCAGUCAUGGAUUUGAAAUGCUCAAACCCUUCAUCAACCAAACCAACAUGACUACAAGCGGAUAGAACCCCAACAAACGUGACAUGAUCUGGUAAUUGAUUACCAAGCUUCAUUUGUGUAAAAAGCUUCAAAGCCUCACUUCCACGUCCAUGACGUGCAUAACCUGAUAUCAUUGAGUUCCAAGAAUACACAUUCCUCACAGGCAUCAACUUGAAAAAUCUUGAUGCAUAAUCAAUUCUUCCACAUUUUGAGUACAUAUCAACAAUUGCACUCCCAACAACAACAUCAUAUUCUAAACAUGCUCUUAUUGCACAGGCAUGAACUUCCAUGCCACGCUCUAAUGUUGCAACAGAGGCACAAGCACUAAGAACAGUGGCAAAGGUGAAACAGUCCAAUCGUUGACCCCUCUGCAUCAUAAACCAGACCAGGUCCAUGGCCUUGGGCAAGAAUUCAUUGUGUAUGUAUCCAGAAAUCAUAGAAUUCCAACUAAUUUCAUCUCUUCUCUCAGACAUUCUAGAGAAGAUUUUUUCACAGUAAUCUAUAUCUCCACACCUGCCAUAGCAAGCGAGAAGUGCAUUCUCAAUAGCACUGUCGUCUGUAAUGUGGUAUUUCAGCAUCAGUGCAUGUAUCUGCUGGCUCAAUCCAAUCUGUGAAAGAGAUGAUACAGCUGCAAGAAUAUUUAUGAAGGUCACUCUGUUAAGACUCCAUCCAGUUCGCAUCAUCUCCAUGAAAAAUUCUACAGCAUCAGAAACUGAUACCUCUGCAUCAGCCAAAGCCCCAAUCACUGUAUUCCAUGAUACUUGAUCAUACUCCAGCAUCAAGGAGAAAACUUUCUGACACUCAGCAAGAUAUCCAGUUUCAGCAUAUAAUGCAAGGAGGGCAUUUGAAACUGAAACAUCCAAAUCAAGUCCCAAUUUAAGCCCUUCAUUGUGUAUUUGCUGGCCUAGUUUGAUCCACUCCAAGCUUGCACAUGAACUCAAAGUACUUAUCAAUGUAAAAUUGGAAGGCAUCAAUCCAGUUCUCCUCAUUGCAUGGUAGCACUUGACUGCAUCUUCAAAACACUCAUUCUGAUCAAGACCAGAAAUCAUGGAAUUCCAUGAGACUGAAUCCCUAUUAGCCAUAAGCCUAAAUACUGAUCUAGCAUCAUCAGUAGCACCACAUUUAGCAUACAUAUUAAUAAGCCCAUUUCCAAUUGCAACCUUGACAUCAUUUAAUCCUGUUCGGAUUGCAAAUCCAUGAACCUCCCUGCCCUUUCUUCUCCCUUCCUGCAGCAGAGAAUAUUCAGCAAAAGCACUUAAUAAAAUCACAUAUGAAUCAAUAUUUAUAUCAACCAAGUUUCUCAUCUCUACGAAUACUUCAGCAGCUUCUUCUCCACGCCUCUGCCUCACUAAUCCAACCAUCAAGCCAUUCAGAGAGACAGCAUUUCUCGCACUCAUCUGCCCAAAAAUCUUCUUCGCAUAAUCAAACAAUCCAAACCUUGCAAAUCCACUAACUAAAGCACUACCCACAUACAAAUCCAAGAGUAAUCCAGAUUUCAUAACCCUUGUAAGCAUCUGUUGCAACAAAUGUGAAUCAGAAUCAAUGGCAGAACCAGCUGCGGUUAUUAAGCUCCCAAAAGUAUACUCAUUAGGUUUAAAAUUGAACCCAGAACCUUCUCUUUGCAUGCUUGAGAAUAUUUCAAAGGCACAAGCUGCAUAUCCUCUUUGUGAAUAAACUGAUAUAAUAGAAUUACAUGAUAUUGAAUUCCUAAUCUUUAUCUCAUCAAAAACACGACCGGCAUAAUCAAUAGAGCCCAAAGUAUUUCCAUACAUUGAUAUCAACACGUUUGACAAAACCACAUCUUGCGCAUAGGGAGACUUUAAAAUUAACCCAUGAAUUUGCAUCCCAAUUUUAAGAUCCCGGCAAGCUUGAAGAGCACCACCAAAAGCAAAACGAUUAGGCAAACAUCCUUCAAAAAUCAUCCCUUUGAAAACCCCAUAUGCCUCCUCAGGCAUCCCGUUGUGAGUAUACCCUGAAAUCAAACAUGCCCACGUAACACCAUUCCUUUCUGGCAUUUCAUCAAAUAACUUACGAGCUGAUACCAAAUCACCACUUCUAACGUAGGCAUUAAUAAGAGUAUUACACAAAAACAAAUCGCAAUCAAACCCAUAUUUAAAGAUCUUCAAAUGAAACUGUCUAGACUCUUUCGGGCAACAAGAAUAUUUAUAUGUAUGAACCAAAUUUUCAUAUACCUCAAAAGAACUCCAAUGUGGAAUAUGUGGCAAAGUGGGCUCGGUUUUUUUAUAUGAUUGAGAUAAUUUGUAGUGAUUGACUAAGUCCUGCAAUGAGAUUACAGUAGGAGAUUGUUUGCUAGAGGGAUUGAUGUUUUGGAGUUGGAAAAGCAAAUCAUUUUUGUUACUGAGCUGUAUUGGAAUUGAUGGUAAAGAAGGUAAGGCGGCAAAUGUAGUGAAGGAAGUGUUUGAAUUGUAAAGCACUCGCUUGUUACUGUUAGGCGUGAAGAAGCAACGUAACAUACUGUGGAUUGUGGAUGAGUAAAACCUCCUGGCUCUGUAGUCUGUGCUCAGUAUAGCUUGCUUGCAUUGGCACCAAAGCUCCGACAUCCGAUUUCCUGCCAGGACGGAAACUUUGGCAUUUCCUAAAACCUCUGAACUUGGCCCAUGU